ACCACUUUGUGAGUCAUGACUGGGGUGAAGUCGUAACAAGGUAACCGUAGGGGAACCUGCGGUUGGAUCACCUCCUUACCUUAAAGAAGC
rnacentral:rRNA from 2 species